rnacentral:misc_RNA from 1 species
UUAUUAGUUUGGGUGAAAGGGGGAUUGUUAGAAGUGAACAAUGCUAAUUCGGCUACACAAGCAAUCUUCAGAAAGUGGUGGAGGAGUGGUGAAGCCCUUGCCAGUGGAUGCUGUGACGGUUGCAUGCCCCGAUCACCUGGUACUUUCCGAUCUCCCUGUAGCUAAGGGUAUUGGAGCAGCUACUGCAGCUACUGUUGUAAAAACUGUGGGUCGCAGAUCCAGACGCCAGCUUGGUGAACGAGCCCAUUUCUGUGUCCGCUGUGACUUCCCGAUUGCUAUCUAUGGACACCUGAGCCCCUGCGAGCAUGCGUUCUGUCUUGAUUGCGCCAGGAGUGAUUCAAUCUGCUAUCUGUAAGGAGAUAUCUGAUCUUGCUUAUUCAUUAACAUUCACAUAAGCUACCUAAUUUCACUGUGAUUAUUUGUUGCAAUAGUCAGGUCCAAGUUUGAAUCUCACAUUCAUGAGAACCACACCGACCUUCUACAGCCAAAUUCAGAGGAGAAUGGUAAUGAAUCAGAGGUUCAAAGUACCAAACAACAUUCAGCUUCAGAUUCCAUAGUUCGAGCUUCCUCUAGGCUAGUCAUACCUGGAUCAAAUUCUCAGUUUCUUGAUUCUGAAGACAAAGCUCAUAGGCAGCAGCCUAGAGAACAGCCAUCUAGGCCAAUGAUGCAACCAAGACCUCCUUAUUUUGGUCAAGCUCAAAAUUAUUCAUCAGAUCCUCAGCCGGACAGCAAUCGUCCCCCUGGCAUUGACCGGCCUGGCAUCCAGAAUCAUUUCCAGCAAAGCAUGCAGGGUGGCCCACAACAAGAAUCCAACCAGUUUUCAGACAAGCAGCAGGGAAAUUUAUCUGAGACCCCAAUACCUGAAUACCCGCCUAUGCAUCCUAUUCAAUCUCCUAAUUUUGUUGUACCAAUGAAUUCUAA